CUACGGGGCGCAGCAGUGAGGAAUAUUGCGCAAUGGGGGAAACCCUGACGCAGCAACGCCGCGUGGAGGAUGACACUUUUCGGAGCGUAAACUCCUUUUAUAUAGGAAGAAGAUGACGGUACUAUAUGAAUAAGCGCCCGCUAACUCCGUGCCAGCAGCCGCGGUAAUACGGAGGGCGCAAGCGUUACUCGGAAUCACUGGGCGUAAAGAGCGUGUAGGCGGAUUAAAAAGUCAGAAGUGAAAUCCUAUAGCUUAACUAUAGAACUGCUUCUGAAACUCUUAAUCUAGAAUAUGGGAGAGGUAGAUGGAAUUUCUGGUGUAGGGGUAAAAUCCGUAGAGAUCAGAAGGAAUACCGAUUGCGAAGGCGAUCUACUAGAACAUUAUUGACGCUGAGACGCGAAAGCGUGGGGAGCAAACAGGAUUAGAUACCCUAGUAGUC
rnacentral:rRNA from 1 species